UAUCACCUUUACUUUGUGUAUUUUCAUAGCUGAGUGAAGAUAAUAACUUUUUCAUCAUGCAUUACCAAGGAGAUUCAGUGCAGUUCCAGUGCUAUGAAGACAGAAGUUACUACCUGUGUGUGAAUGAUGACUCCCUUGAUAUUCGCAAGCGGGAAAACGAAGAACUCAACGAGGACAAAAAUUUUUACUUUAGGGUGUCAUAUUUACAGGAAAAGUAACUUCCCUCCCUUCCAGUGGCCUAAGUGUCCAUACAGAUAAGAGAAUGAACAUUGAGGUCAACCUAUUUCCAUUUUGGCUUAAUUUUUUACUUUUUUAUAAUUUCUUAAGUCAUUAUUUUGCAUGAAUAACGUCCUUUAUUUCCAUACGUUCAACAGGACAAGAGAAAGGCUAAGUUUGAAAAACAUACUAACUGAUCAGUCUCUUUUUGUCUUACCUGCACAAUUACGGUUUUAUGGAACUGAAUUCUUCUGGAAGGGGAAAAAUACAUAGGGGAUAUUUGAAUACAGGGGAAAAAGGAGGAAGCAUACAUGGAUAUGAAAUACAAACCACUACCUAGUUCUCCAUGUGGUAAACAUUUUACUUUUUAAAAAAUAUCUCUUACGAGAAGAAAACAUUUAGAAGUUAUUAAAUGCACAUGUGCCUGUCCUGACUGACUGACUGACUGACUGACUUUGGGGAAGGAGUAGAAAAGGUGUCUCAGGUCUAAGUGAGAACAAAGGAAGAGGCUGAAGGUUUUAAACAGAAGAUCUCUCUGCCCCUGCAGCUCCAACUCAGCCCAUGCACUCCAUUAUGCAAUUUCACCAUCUUUCCAGCACAGCAGCUCCCUAAGAAAAUGUACCCAGAGCACCAGACUCCCACCAGGCUGGCGGAGGAAGGGAGGCACAUUGAAUGAUGGGGUGUAACAGAUGCCUGUGAACAAAGGCAGAAAAUUACCCUGACAUACUGGCUUCCCUCUCUGAAUCACAGAAGGAAAUGCAAUCACCUGUUAACCUGCAAAGCAGCAUGCAGAACAACAUCUGAAAAAUAAUCCGAUGUUCAAAAUGACUGAAUAAAAUAAACACUGUGUGCUUAUGUUGGAUAAACUGGAAGAGCAGUAAGAGAACCUGUCUUCUAGCAACAGGUUCUGUCAGCAUGAAAUGGAAGACGCUGACACUUAGAAGUCCAUAGACCAUACUCUGCAAGGCACCAAAUGUUUGAAAUACAAGAGGAUACAAACCAAAAGCGUACACAGGAUCAUUGGAUGUAAAAGGUCUGGUUCUCCACUGCUCCACAUGGAGUCCCACUGUGAUUUAGUGGCAAUUUUUGCUGAUGCAAGUCAUUUGGGCAUAUUUGUGUAUAAAUGAUAGACAUCAUGUACCUAUGCCAAGAGGUUACCGCCUAGUUGCAGUGGAACAACAAGCAAUCCACUCAGCACUUGCAGGAAUUGUUCUGUGAAACCAGAGUUCUUCCAAUCAUGGAGAAAGGAAUGGUCAUUACAGUAAAAAAACACUGAAGACUGGUAAAAGAAUGACUACAUUAAAGUGUGAGUUUCAUAACAAUUGUCAUAUAUUGAAGCAAGAGACUGGCAGCCAGCCUUGCUUGCCCUGAAAUAUGUGCCUGGUAUGCACCAUGUUACAUACCACCUUCAGUAUGGUUAGCCAGAAGAACUAGAAAUGAGAAUUAGAAAUUGUUAACCCAAUGAAUGCACUUACAGUCUAAACAAAAUAUAACAAUCUAGCAUUAGUCAAUUGCAACAGUACUAAAACUUUUAAGUAAUCCAAGUCACAAAUUUAGUCACACAUUUUCUAUUCAGGAUCAUUAGAAACACAACACAUCAAUAUAGACAAAGUCUCAUUUAUGCCUCUUCCCUGGUGUGAAGUUCUCACCCUUCCAUUCCCUCACAGCCUGAAGUCAAGGCCCCUUUUUUCUUAGAUGGGAUGAUGUGAUGAUGUUGUCAUUACGAUAGAUAUAAUGAUAUCCACUGAUUUAGAUGGAAGAGUAUUUUAUCUUAAGUGUUGCUGCUUUUGGAAACACAUGGCAUGCUUUGAAGUAAAAGAUAUGUAUAAACAGAGAUUUUUUAAAUGUCAUUUUGGUUUUGUUUCUAUUUGCCCAUGAUUUGUCUAGGCACACUAGGCACACUAAAUUCCUCCGAUGUUUGUGUGUUUUAAACAAGACUUCUCAUAUUCCAUGUAUAUUUGAAUAGCUGUAAAGAAGCAGAUUCUCUACCAGCUUCUCUGUUCAUUGAUUCUGACAAAUUACAUGGGCUAACUAGUACCAAGGACGAAAGCAGCUAAUAAGGUACAACUUGAAGCCGUCCUUCUCUAGCACCAUCUCGUGGACUUCCGAUGAAGGGUAGUAAACUUGUAUUCAACUUUUAUUACACUAUCAAGCUACAAAAAAAAAGUUCUUGGCAACUGAAAACAAAAAUUUCUUUGUUUUUCCAAACCCUGAUAUUUAUUUGCAACUGAUACAGGAUCUGAGGAGAGACUCAGGCAGCAGGGUUUGUUUAGCCUGAAGAUGAGAGUAGUGACUCUUCACCUAGCUGAAAGGGGACUGUAGACAAGGUGGACCAAACUUCCCUUAGAGGUGCACAGCAGAAGGACCAUAGGCAGUAGUCACAAUUUGUAGCAAGGGAAAUUUCUACUGUCUGUCAAGAAAAACAAAAAUUUAUAAGGAUAUGUAGGAAUUGGAACAGGUUGUGUGAUUAUAAAGUGGCUGUGGAGUUUUUCAGAAUUGAACUGUACAAGGCGCUGUGCAACCUCAUCUAGUACUGAAGGUAAGCCUGCUCUGAGCAGGUGGUUUGACAAAAUGACCUCCAGAGGUACCUUGCAACGUAAAUGAUAUUGUGAUUCUAUGAUUGAAAAGCAGCUUCAGUGUCUUAGAAAUUACAGAUUAUUUAACCCAAAGAAUUGUAUUCAAUGCAACCUACACAAGCAUACGGAAGAACAACAUAAAGCAAACAAAAGAAAUCCUAUUGAUUUCAUCCCAAAGCACAAUAUUUUCAUUACUACAUGCAGGUUUAAGCCAAAAGGAAAACACAUUCAGUGUCAGAAAAAAGGUCAUAACAAGUGAAAGAUUCCCUCUUGAUCUCCAAAAAAACUCAAAUCAAAACGCAUAGGCUAUUUAAAAGAAGAAAACGGCAUAAGGAGAACAAGGGUUCAAUUGGAAAAUAAAAAGUAAUUACAAUAUGUUUAUCAGGUGAAUUUAAAAGCUGCUGUCAUUUUACCUGAUUGGUUUUGGUGUAGUUUUUCUUGCAAUAACAGCCUUCUCAAUAUUUGAAUGAUCUGAGGAAAUACACUAAACACAUCUCAUUGUACUGAGGUCUGGUCAGUUCUGUGAGGAUCUCCUCCACCCCCUACCAUGGCUGUUAAAAGUAAACUGUAGUUCUAUUACAGAAAUCAUUAGGUAUUCUAAUAAUGUUAAAAACUAAAAGUUCUAAUACAUCUAGAUAAAAGUGUUACCUAAAUUCCGCAAAUUAUGCAAAUUACUACCAUAAGAAUAAAAAAAAGAAAAAAAAAUAGCUAAAAGGUAUGAAAUGGAGAGGGAUAAAGAAAAAGUUUGAAAAUGAAGCACAGAAAGAAUAGUGUGAUUCUAUGUGCAUUCCUUCCUCUAGAAAACUAAGAAAUAGAAGAGUUAACUACAUUUGUGGGGUAUUUACAUUUUGGCUACUUAGAAAGUCAUAUAUUCUUCAUUAUUCACUGCAGCUCUACUACAGAAUUUACAGAAUCUCUCUAUCUGUUUUCAAUUUCAUUUUUUUUCAUCACUUAGAAAGAAAGUAGUUAAUUAGUAAUUAAAUAUGUUUGCUCUGUUUUCAUUCUGAGCUUCUAUAUAUGAAGCUGUUAUUUAGAAAUAGGGGAUAUAUAACUCAAAGUACAGUUUUAGAAGACCCAUACAUUUUGAGCAUUGUAGCUCCUUUUAGUGGUAGCUCCACAUUUUCUCUCUGAAAAUAAUUUAAUAUUUUCUUUGUAAUUAUGUACUUCACUUGAAUAAGGUCAUACCAAAUACUGUAUUAUUAGUCAUACCUGUAUUAAAAUUAGUAUUAACCAAUACCAUAUGUUGACUGUUAACAGGAUAAACAAAUAUGUUCUGUAUUUACAAAUGUAAACUUUGCUCACAAUUAUGGUUCACUCUUAAGGUAAGCCUUAAAACUAUUUUAUGGGUUUAACUCAAGAGUAAAUAAAUUAAUAUUUCACCAUGUCA